CCUACGGGUGGCAGCAGUGGGGGAUAUUGCACAAUGGGGGAAACCCUGAUGCAGCGACGCCGCGUGGGUGAAGAAGUAUUUCGGUAUGUAAAGCCCUAUCAGCAGGGAAGAAAGAAGACGGUACCUGACUAAGAAGCCCCGGCUAACUACGUGCCAGCAGCCGCGGUAAUACGUAGGGGGCGAGCGUUAUCCGGAUUCACUGGGGGUAAAGGGAGCGUAGACGGCCGUGCAAGCCAGGAGUGAAAGCCCGGGGCCCAACCCCGGGACUGCUCUUGGAACUGUGCGGCUGGAGUGCGGGAGGGGCAGGCGGAAUGCCUGGUGUAGCGGUGAAAUGCGUAGAUAUCAGGAGGAACACCGGCGGCGAAGGCGGCCUGCUGGACCGCGACUGACGUUGAGGCUCGAAAGCGUGGGGAGCGAACAGGAUUAGAUACCCGUGUAGUC
rnacentral:rRNA from 1 species